rnacentral:lncRNA from 1 species
GUGGCUGCACCCCCACCCUGGCCUGCAGCUCAGGCCUCGGCAGAGCGGGUUUCUCAGGGCAACCCCCUAUCUGGAGCCAGCUUCCUGGCCGUUGCCAUGGGAACUGCUUCCUCGUUGCCAAAUGCUGCUGACCAGGGAAAAUGAGUUGGGCAGAUGGGAAGGAUGGGAUGGAUGGAGGGAGGACCAGAGCUGGAUGGGCAGGAAUGAGAUGGCUUCUGGGUGGGCCUGGAUGGGCCGCAUGAAGGGGAGGGGAUGAUCAUCUCUGUCUCAUCAGUGGGCAUUCGGACAGCAUGGACUCAGGGGACUCCCACCUGCUGGAAGCUGGAGGUGGGAAGGUGGCUCCCGGAGGAACCAGCCCCAUGCAGGACCAGUGACCGUAUGAAGGACGCUUCUCAUCCCAUCACUUCAGCUUUAAUCAACCAGCCCCGUGCCGGCCGGGCUGGCCCUCUGGGGGCAGAUGUCUGCGGUGCCCUUUCAGAAGCCGGCACACUGGGGAGGAGCUGGAAUCUGCCACUGGGCACCGACAUUGUUCGCGGCUGGAGGCCAAGCUGCCGAGAAUGUAAAUUUCUAAUUAAAAUAGGAAUUAAUCCUCUCUCCCAACUACCUGCUAUCUCCAGCUGGAUGAGCAAAAGUUGAUGCCGCUAAUUAAUGUUAUCGCCCAGAAGCUUUAUUUACGGAAGCAGAUGGAAUUCACGUGGCUUUGCGGGAGCUGAUGGAGAAAGUGAAAAAAAUUAAUUACCUUGAUCCUCCGCCUUGUAUUCUAAUCACAGACUGGCAGGGUCCCUCUUCGGCUUUCCCCAAAGCCCACCACUGGUGCUUUCUUUCAUGAACUGGGCACUUGUUCCAAAUACAGGGAGAAAAAGCUGAAAAUUGCCGUGAGCGGCUCAGAGAAAAGAGGAGCGUUUGCUGGCACUUGGACUGCCGGACGGACGGGAAGAUAACCGUUCCUGGCAUUGGGUGUUUUUGUUACCCAGCAAAGCAGAUUCUAAAUUUCAAAUUAAGAUCUUGAAAAGUUCCUGGCAGAUUAAUAAAUCACACUAACUGCUGUGCGUUCUGCAGGUUUUUUUCAGGGAGGUUUGAGUCUGGGGACAGUUCUGUCCCUUCCCUGGAGGGGCCAUACCUUCCUGUCCUCCCGGGGAGGGCCCCCAGACAAGUGGAGGACGGAAGCGCUGUCCCCUUGCUGGAGGGCUCUUUCCUUCAAGCUGUGGCUGGGACCCAGUCAGCUGUCUGUCUCUCUGCUCGCAUGAAAUGAAACUCAGACGUUCAAGUCGGCUGCUGUGUGCCUCGGUGACGCUGGCCCAGGGUGCUGAGAGCUAUGUUCCUGAGGAGGGAGUGGUGGAGUGGGGCAGUUAGUCAAUCCGCAGACAUGCGGUGGGAGCCCC